CGAAAAUAACAACGAAGUACCUCUUCAAUGGAUAAAGGGUCACAGUAACUUACGAGAGAACGAUGCCGCUGAUGAAUUGGCCAGGAGGGGCUCAGCGAUGACAGCAAAAGGACCAGAACCAACUAUCCCUCUCCCGCCUAGUUGGCCUGCAACGGUGUCACCGACAGUCCACUGUGCAGAGCCUGCAUGGAAGUAGAUGAAACAGCCGCACACGUCAUUCUGGAGUGUAGGAGUGUGGCUACAUACCGGGCCAAACACCUGGGGUAACCGAGGACUCUCCCCGAGGUCAUGGGUAGCAUCAGAGGUUUGAUACAAUACCUUGAGGAGCUGGGUUGGCAGGAUUAGCCGCCCACCUCACCACGAAAAAUAGGCGCGCUGUAGUCGUCGAGUUGCGGAUAAUAGCCCGUGAUAACCUAUAACCUAUAGAUACCAAUAGUCAACAAUGAACGUGACAAAUUUAGCAGAGGCGACAGUUUCCGCAAAAAAAGGAAGUUACUACUUACUAUAAAUUAAUUAAUUAUUAUAACUUAUACAAAUAAGUAAUAACAAUUACUUUAUAUUACGAUUCAUUUUAUCACCUAAUCUUGGACUAAAGCUCUAUUAACUACAAUAUUUUUUACCUCCUUACGGGAUACUAAGUCCAACCCCUAAGUUCUAUUUUAAUAACCGUAUAACUUUUAUUUUUCAGGUGUGUCAUAUCAACACAAAUAUGUGUAUAAAAUAGCAGUUCCGUAUUUUCUCGGAAUAAAAAAAAAUCACGAAACAAGCAAGAGAUAGAUCAAUGAGAUUGGUAACUCCAAUGUCCGGAAACGUUUAGUGGAGAGCAGCUUUCCCGUACACGAGAUAAUGAAAGAGAAUUGGCGCCAGUUGGUAGCAAGAGGGAGAUAUGAGGAAAUUUAUAAACCUAAUAAGCAUAUUUAUAUUUCUCCUCUAAAGGAUUUAAGCGUUUUUGGAUUUAACCAAAUUUAAAAUUUGACAA